UAUUAAGCAAAGCCGGGUACAAGAGCCACCGCUUCGGCGUAACUCUUGCCCAGUUUUGCGUGAAUAUUCACCCAUGUCUUUUGCGUACUUCUUGUUUCCUUGGUAGGCUCGCCUGCCAUUAGGACAACCAUUAAACCUUUUUGUAAUUGCAGUCAGCGUCAGUAAAAUUUAAUCGUUACAACUUUCAACAACGGAUCUCUUGGUUCU
rnacentral:misc_RNA from 1 species